rnacentral:rRNA from 1 species
CUCAGGACGAACGCUGGCGGCGUGCCUAAUACAUGCAAGUCGUACGCUUCUUUUUCCACCGGAGCUUGCUCCACCGGAAAAAGAAGAGUGGCGAACGGGUGAGUAACACGUGGGUAACCUGCCCAUCAGAAGGGGAUAACACUUGGAAACAGGUGCUAAUACCGUAUAACAAUCGAAACCGCAUGGUUUUGAUUUGAAAGGCGCUUUCGGGUGUCGCUGAURGAUGGACCCGCGGUGCAUUAGCUAGUUGGUGAGGUAACGGCUCACCAAGGCCACGAUGCAUAGCCGACCUGAGAGGGUGAUCGGCCACAUUGGGACUGAGACACGGCCCAAACUCCUACGGGAGGCAGCAGUAGGGAAUCUUCGGCAAUGGACGAAAGUCUGACCGAGCAACGCCGCGUGAGUGAAGAAGGUUUUCGGAUCGUAAAACUCUGUUGUUAGAGAAGAAYAAGGAUGAGAGUAACUGUUCAUCCCUUGACGGUAUCUAACCAGAAAGCCACGGCUAACUACGUGCCAGCAGCCGCGGUAAUACGUAGGUGGCAAGCGUUGUCCGGAUUUAUUGGGCGUAAAGCGAGCGCAGGCGGUUUCUUAAGUCUGAUGUGAAAGCCCCCGGCUCAACCGGGGAGGGUCAUUGGAAACUGGGAGACUUGAGUGCAGAAGAGGAGAGUGGAAUUCCAUGUGUAGCGGUGAAAUGCGUAGAUAUAUGGAGGAACACCAGUGGCGAAGGCGGCUCUCUGGUCUGUAACUGACGCUGAGGCUCGAAAGCGUGGGGAGCAAACAGGAUUAG